AACGAACGCUGGCGGCAGGCUUAACACAUGCAAGUCGAGCGCCCCGCAAGGGGAGCGGCAGACGGGUGGGUAACGCGUGGGAACGUACCUUUUGGUUCGGAACAACUCCGGGAAACUGGAGCUAAUACCGGAUAAGCCCUAACGGGGAAAGAUUUAUCGGCGAAAGAUCGGCCCGCGGCUGAUUAUCUAGUUGGUGAGGUAGCGGCGCACCAAGGCGACGAUCAGUAGCUGGUCUGAGAGGGUGAUCAGCCACACUGGGGCUGAGACACGGCCCAGACUCCUACGGGAGGGAGCAGGGGGGGAUGGUGCACAAGGGGCGGGAGCCGGAUGCAGCAACGCCGCGUGCGGGAAGAAGGCCGGCGGGUUGGAAACCACUUUCGUCUGGGACGAAACGUGAGUGACGGUAAGGGAUAAAGAAGCACCGGCUAACUACGUG
rnacentral:rRNA from 1 species